rnacentral:rRNA from 1 species
UACGUAGGCAGCAAGCGUUGUUCGGAGUUACUGGGCGUAAAGGGUGCGUAGGCGGUCCUAUAAGUAUGGUGUGAAAUCUCCCGGCUUAACUGGGAGGGUGCGCUAUAGACUGUGGGACUAGAGUGUGGGAGAGGAAAGUGGAAUUCCUGGUGUAGCGGUGAAAUGCGUAGAUAUCAGGAGGAACACCGGCGGUGUAAACGGCUUUCUGGACCAUAACUGACGCUGAGGCACGAAAGCGUGGGGAGCGAACAGG